UACAGAGGUCUCAAGCGUUGUUCGGAUUCAUUAGGCGUAAAGGGUGCGUAGGUGGCGGGGUAAGUCAGGUGUGAAAUUUCGGAGCUUAACUCCGAAACUGCAUUUGAUACUGCCUUGCUUGAGGACUGGAGAGGAGACUGGAAUUCACGGUGUAGCAGUGAAAUGCGUAGAGAUCGUGAGGAAGACCAGUGGCGAAGGCGGGUCUCUGGACAGUUCCUGACACUGAGGCACGAAGGCCAGGGGAGCAAACGGG
rnacentral:rRNA from 1 species